GUGGGGAAUCUUCCGCAAUGGACGAAAGUCUGACGGAGCGACGCCGCGUGAGUGAAGAAGGCCUUCGGGUCGUAAAGCUCUGUCAUCAGGGACGAACGGCCGGUGGAGUGGAAAGCCACCGGAUUGACGGUACCUGAGAAGGAAGCCACGGCUAACUACGUGCCAGCAGCCGCGGUAAUACGUAGGUGACAAGCGUUGUCCGGAAUUAUUGGGCGUAAAGCGCGCGCAGGUGGGAUCUUAAGUCCAUUUUUAAAGUUCGGAGCUCAACUCCGUGAUGGGAUGGAAACUGGGAUUCUUGAGUACCGGAGAGGAAAGCGGAAUUCCCCGUGUAGCGGUGAAAUGCGUAGAUAUGGGGAGGAACACCAGUGGCGAAGGCGGCUUUCUGGACGGUGUCUGACACUGAGGCGCGAAAGCUAGGGGAGCGAACGGGAUUAGAAACCCCUGUAGUCC
rnacentral:rRNA from 1 species